UGUCGUGCCAACGGCAUAGCUGGGUAGCUAUGUAUGGACGGGAUAAGUGCUGAAAGCAUCUAAGCAUGAAGCCCCCCUCAAGAUGAGAUUUCCCAACUUCGGUUAUAAGAUCCCUCGAAGAUGACGAGGUUAAUAGGUUCGAGGUGGAAGCGUGGUGACACGUGGAGCUGACGAAUACUAAUCGAUCGAAGACUUAAUCAA
rnacentral:rRNA from 1 species